UACGGAGGAUGCGAGCGUUAUCCGGAUUUAUUGGGUGUAAAGGGUGCGUAGACGGGAAAUUAAGUUAGUUGUGAAAUCCCUCGGCUUAACUGAGGAACUGCAACUAAAACUGAUUUUCUUGAGUACUGGAGAGGAAAGUGGAAUUCCUAGUGUAGCGGUGAAAUGCGUAGAUAUCACGCAGAACUCCGAUUGCGAAGGCAGCAUACCGGCGCCCAACUGACGCUGAAGCACGAAAGCGUGGGUAUCGAACAGG
rnacentral:rRNA from 1 species